rnacentral:tRNA from 1 species
GGGCCAGUAGCUCAUCUGGUAGAGCGCAGCAUUCGCAUUGCUGAGGUAAGGGGUUCGAGUCCCCUCUGGUCCA